ACGCUCCUGAGCUCACACCCUCUGAAACUGCAACAUGGGCACCUGGCAGAGGUACUUGGGGAAGAGGAAGACUAUGAGUUCAGCCUGGCCACCUGCAAGAGUGCUGGGCUGAGCCUGUGGUGACUUCUCAGCCCUGGUCUUGUUGGUGUGAACUGCACAGCCCACUGUGGACUUCCUGCCUUUCAGCACUGGCUCGGGACAUGGAGGCGCGCUACCAUCGCAAGCCAAGAAUGACGUGCACAUUUUUCUAGCUUUCCCGAUGCUCACAGACACUGCCAGCUUCCUGCCCACUGUCCCCUGGGGCUCCAAGGAUAAUCUCUUCAGCUGACACCCAGAAGACAGACACCCUUCAACAAAAGAUCACCCUAACAAUGUCCAGGAUCCCCAAGCCCUGCUACCUCCUUGCAUGGCUGGGUCCCAUGGCACCAACUCAGCCCCUCAGACACUUGAGUUCUGGGUUGCAAACUUCUUCUUAAACCCACGAGAAACCACCCAGCCAGGAGAAGCUGCUCUAGGGAUGGCUACAGAGAUGCUCUACAGCACCGUCACCCUCCCAGGAACUCAGCCUAGAAAGAGAUGAGAAGCAGGCAGCCAUCUGUGUGUGGGAGCUGAGCUCACGGGCUAGUGACUGACAGGUGUUGACAGAGACCCAGAGCCACAAACAACUUUAAGCCUGUU